rnacentral:piRNA from 1 species
UGGAAAGAGCGAAGACCUCAUUCUCAGGC